rnacentral:rRNA from 1 species
GUCCACGCUGUAAACGAUGUCUGCUAGCCGUUGGAGUCCUUGAGGCUUCGGUGGCGCAGCUAACGCGAUAAGCAGACCGCCUGGGGAGUACGGCCGCAAGGUUAAAACUCAAAUGAAUUGACGGGGCCGCACAAGCGGUGGAGCAUGUGGUUUAAUUCGAUGCAACGCGAAGAACCUUACCAGGUCUUGACAUCCAGCGAACUGCCCAGAGAUGGGCGGGUGCCUUCGGAGCGCUGAGACAGGUGCUGCAUGGCUGUCGU